ACGGCAGUGACAACUGUCAUGCUUUUAUGGCCACAUUUGCCAAUUGUUUGCUGAAUUGUUGACGUAAAUGUCACUCGUAUCAAAAGGCGGCGACUGUGGCACAGUCUCCGGUUCUCUGUCUCUGCCCUAGACUUUGGCUUUGACUCUGUCUCUGACUGUGAAUGUGGCUGUGGCUGUGGCUCCUUCUUCCAUAUUCUACGAGGUCGAGAGACAUGAGCAUGAUUCUCAGGGCCGCGUUCAUCGCAUUACUCCGUCUUUGUGGGCUGUUGCUGUUGUAGCCUCUGAGCCUUAC
rnacentral:lncRNA from 1 species